GGGCCUGUGGUGUAAUGGUAGCAUUACUGCCGUUGACACGCAGUGGUGCGGGUUCAAUUCCCGUCAGGUCCA
rnacentral:tRNA from 1 species